rnacentral:piRNA from 1 species
UAUCAGUUCUGGGGUGAGUCUUAAAA